rnacentral:rRNA from 1 species
CAGUCGAACGAGGUUUGAUCAGUUUGCGGUGGUGCUUGCAUCACCAAUUACUGAUUAAACCGAGUGGCGGACGGGUGAGUAACACGUGGGUAACCUGCCCUUCAGCAGGGGAUAACAUUUGGAAACAGAUGCUAAUACCGUAUAACCACGGAGACCGCAUGGUCUCCGGGUAAAAGAUGGCGAAAGCUAUCACUGAGGGAUGGACCCGCGGCGUAUUAGCCAGUUGGUGGGGUAAUGGCCUACCAAAGCGAUGAUACGUAGCCGACCUGAGAGGGUAAUCGGCCACGUUGGGACUGAGACACGGCCCAAACUCCUACGGGAGGCAGCAGUAGGGAAUCUUCCACAAUGGACGCAAGUCUGAUGGAGCAACGCCGCGUGAGUGAAGAAGGCUUUCGGGUCGUAAAACUCUGUUAUUGAAGAAGAACGUGUGUGAGAGUAACUGCUCAUGCAGUGACGGUAUUCAACCAGAAAGUCACGGCUAACUACGUGCCAGCAGCCGCGGUAAUACGUAGGUGGCAAGCGUUGUCCGGAUUUAUUGGGCGUAAAGCGAGUGCAGGCGGUUUUUUAAGUCUGAUGUGAAAGCCUUCGGCUUAACCGAAGAAGUGCAUCGGAAACUGGGAAACUUGAGUGCAGAAGAGGAGAGUGGAACUCCAUGUGUAGCGGUGAAAUGCGUAGGUAUAUGGAAGAACACCAGUGGCGAAGGCGGCUCUCUGGUCUGUAACUGACGCUGAGGCUCGAAAGCGUGGGUAGCAAACAGGAUUAGAUACCCUGGUAGUCCACGCCGUANACGAUGAAUACUAAGUGUUGGGGGGUUUCCGCCCCUCAGUGCUGCAGCUAACGCAUUAAGUAUUCCGCCUGGGGAGUACGACCGCAAGGUUGAAACUCAAAGGGAUUGACGGGGGCC